rnacentral:lncRNA from 1 species
CUUCUUACGUGCGUACAUAAGUACACACACCAGUUUUUAUAAUAUUCGCAUUGAACGAAUUCCAAAUAUUCCACAGACACAAAAAAACGUGUAAGAAAAUUAAAUCCAAUACGGAAAAUAUUUUCAAUGUUGCAAUCUUAGGUAAUCACAGGUACUCGUAUAAAUCACAAAAAGUCUUGUCGUAGUCAUUCUUCGUUUUUCGAUUGAAGUUAGGUAAAUCUCAUAUUAUUGGAAUAAAUUGGAAAAAUAAUCCAAUUGCCAUCAAAUCUGAUUGAGUAUUUUCAAAAGUUUCCUGACACUAUAUAAGAAGAUAAUCAUAAGACAUCCAACGGAUUAUCAACAUUCGACAACGUACAACAUAUUUUUUGUAUAAAUUAUUAUACAUCAAUAAUCCGAACAUACAUUUAGCAACCAUGCGAAUCUUCGACAUUUUUCAAUUUCAAUUUUUCACGAUAACAUAUAUACUCGAACGAAUUCUAAUAUCGUCUUUUGAACAUCAAGAGAAAAAUCUUCAACGAAAGUAAAAGGAAAAGAAGAAGAAGAAGAAGAAGAAGCAGAAGAAGAAAGGUUGCUACUAGCAGCCGGUACUACUGGAUGCGCACCAUUCUCAUAGUAAUAUCUUACACUAGAAGGUAGUAGUAGUAGUAUGAUCUCGAUCAUCGAUUCUUCAACCUAGCGUAAAUUAUUCUUCCAGGCAAUAUUCCUUAUUCGAAGGUAACAUUUCUUACUUUACAAAUCUUUCUCGUA